rnacentral:rRNA from 1 species
AGUGAACGCUGGCGGUAGGCCUAACACAUGCAAGUCGAACGGCAGCACAGUAAGAGCUUGCUCUUACGGGUGGCGCGUGGCGGCCGGGUGAGGAAUACAUCGGAAUCUACUUUUUCGUGGGGGAUAACGUAGGGAAACUUACGCUAAUACCGCAUACGACCUACGGGUGAAAGCAGGGGAUCUUCGGACCUUGCGCGGUUGAAUGAGCCGAUGUCGGAUGAGCUAGUUGGCGGGGUAAAGGCCCACCAAGGCGACGAUCCGUAGCUGGUCUGACAGGAUGAUCAGCCAGACUGGAACAGAGAAAGGGCCCAGACUCCUACGGGAGGAAGCAGUGGGGAAUAUUGGACAAUGGGCGCAAGCCUGAUCCAGCCAUACCGCGUGAGUGAAGAAGGCCUUCGGGUUGUAAAGCCAUUUUGUUGGGAAAGAAAAGCAGCAGGUUAAUACCCCGCUGUUCUGACGGUACCCAAAGAAUAAGCACCGGCUAACUUCGUG